rnacentral:rRNA from 1 species
UACAGAGGUCUCAAGCGUUGUUCGGAUUCAUUGGGCGUAAAGGGUGCGUAGGCGGCGCGGUAAGUCGGGUGUGAAAUCUCGGAGCUUAACUCCGAAACUGCAUUCGAUACUGCCGUGCUUGAGGACUGGAGAGGAGACUGGAAUUUACGGUGUAGCGGUGAAAUGCGUAGAUAUCUGGAGGAACACCGGUGGCGAAGGCGGCAUCCUGGACCGGCAUUGACGCUGAGGAGCGAAAGCCAGGGGAGCAAAGCGGG